UACCAGCACCCCGAGUGGUCGUGACGAUUAUUGGGCCUAAAGCAUCCGUAGCCGGCCUUACAAGUCCUCCGUUAAAUCCAGCUGCUUAACAGAUGGGCUGCGGAGGAUACUAUAAGACUAGGAGGCAGGAGAGGCAAGCGGUACUCAGUGGGUAGGGGUAAAAUCCGAUGAUCCAUUGAAGACCACCAGUGGCGAAGGCGGCUUGCCAGAAUGCGCUCGACGGUGAGGGAUGAAAGCUGGGGGAGCAAACCGG
rnacentral:rRNA from 1 species